CAACAAGGAGGGAAAGUCAUGGACUGCGCGCUUCGGAUUUAGCGAAUCAGACGGCGUAUAUUACAUCAGCAGAGGGUGGAGAAAGUUCUGUCGUGAUAACAGAUGCACCAACGGAGAUUUGUUUGUGUUCAACGUGGUUAGAGACGGGACGACAACUCCAUUACUGUGUGUAUGUCCGGAAAGGAAGGAGUGUACUGAACUACUGAUCAAGCACUUCAGCAGAAUCGAUGGUAGCAUUGCUUCUACCUCACGAAAUUAGAUGGCUCUUUUGCGGUCUUUCCUCUCUAUCAUCUUAACUUGUUUCCUUUUGUUUCAUUAGCAACUUAUCAACUUAUGUAUUUCGGUUUGUAAAACUUGAAUGGUUUUUCUAUGUGAACUUUUAUCCUAAGUUAAACAUUCUCGAACUUAAUUCCUUUGUUGAAUGCGUAGACUGAUCAUCGAACAAAAUGUUUCUAUGAAUUGAAUUUAAGUUAAGAAACAACAUAAACUCCAAAACUCUAACAUAGCUUUUCUACAUCUGAAAACACAAACUAAAAUAUUAUAACAUAUCUCAAAACCAAAACUUAAACUCCAAAACUAAAACAUAGGUUGAAUAAAGUGUUUUCAUAAAUUUUAUAAUAUAUUUUAAUAUUUUAUUCAUGUAUUCUGAAUAAUUUUAAAUUUAAAAAAAAAUAAAAAAUAUUAUUAUUUUAUUCGUAUGAACUCUUUCUUCGGGUUCACUAAUGCAGAAAACAACAAAUUCGGGUUCAUAACUGUUUAUGGGCCCACAAAAAAAUAUUAAAAAAAUUUGGUGAACCCCAAAGUGGGGUUCACCAAUGCUCAUGCUCUUAGUUUCUCGCUUUCUCUUUCAUAUCAGUUUAAAAUAACUAUAAUUUAAACGUUUUUAAGUACAAUUUUUUUUUUUUUUUGUGAGUCCGACGGUCAUGCGACCCCUUUCGCGAAUAAAGCAGCAAAGUUCACACUAAUAAGAAAUUUUACACUGAUCGAAAAUGUUCAAUACUUUUAUUUUCUUAGUUCAUAGUCAGUCAUUAGUCAUACUCAUAUAACAUAUAUUUUGUAGGAAAAUUACAAAUACAUCAAUGUAUGUCUCCAAAACGUGAGAAAAUGUAGGUAUAAUAUUUCUUAUGGAUUCAUGAACUUCAGAUUUGAGCACUUUAAUCAGUGUCAACUUUAAACAAACAAAAAAUUAAGGUGUCAACAGACCAUUUUACCCUAUUUAAUAUAUAUGAAUCUUAGUUUAAAAUCUUUUAUUUUAAAAGAAAAACUAGACCCUUAAACCAUACUAGAUCUUGACCCGCCCGACCGGGUGGGUAUUUUUUUUAUGUUUUUAGUUUUUUUUUUGUUUAUAUUAAAUGAUGCAUUUGUAAUAUUGAAACAUAAAUUUAUAUUGAAAAUUAAUUUUUGCAGCUAUAAUAAAAAUUAAAAUUAAAAUUUUAAAAAAUAUUUUGAUAUAAAUUUUAAAUUUCCUAACUAAAAUAAUAUAGAGGUGGUCAUAUUUUUUCCAAUUUCAAAAUCUAAGUUUCCUUAAAGACAAAGAAAAUAAAUUUAUAAGUACAUAAAAUAUAUAAACAUAUUUGGAACUAUAAUUUCUAUUAAAAUAAAUUUGAUAAAGAAAAAUAAUCUUGCUGUUGUUAUUUAUUUCUAGAGCUUGAUCCGUGACCGUAUGAAUAUUUACUACACAUUUGUUAAUAUAACAUUUUUAAACAUAACAAUUUUAUUUAUUACUUUGAAUAAUUAUAUUUUGUGAUUUUAAUCAUCUAUUAUAUCACAAUGUAUAAUAUAAACAAAUCCAAUAUUUAUAACUAAUUG